rnacentral:rRNA from 1 species
CAGUAGCCGCGGUAAUACAGAGGGUGCGAGCGUUAAUCGGAUUUACUGGGCGUAAAGCGUGCGUAGGCGGCUUCUUAAGUCGGAUGUGAAAUCCCUGAGCUUAACUUAGGAAUUGCAUUCGAUACUGGAAAGCUAGAGUAUGGGAGAGGAUGGUAGAAUUCCAGGUGUAGCGGUGAAAUGCGUAGAGAUCUGGAGGAAUACCGAUGGCGAAGGCAGCCAUCUGGCCUAAUACUGACGCUGAGGUACGAAAGCAUGGGGAGCAAACAGGAUUAGAUACCCCGGUAGUCCCUGUCUCUUAUAC